AUGUAAAGGGCAGCUCGGGCUGCGCGGUUUAGUCAUCGUUCUCGUUCUCGUUCAUAGUUCACAGCUCAGGCUCUGUAGCGAGCACCAAGUACUACAGUUCUUUUGGGACUCGUUCUUAUGAAUGGUUCGUUUGUUCACUUGUCACAUGACAGCAGAUCCGCGCAGGCUCUGUAGCGAGCAAGACGAGCUCCAAUUCGUUCCUACCGCUACCAAGCGACUGUCGGGCUGUUAAACGACAAUAGCAGGGAAGAAGCAUGAUAAGUCACGUUAAUGUGGAUUCAGCCAUUAAACCAGAUGACCAGAUCCUGAUAAUAGUCAUCAAAAGAAAGAACUGGUCCCAUCCACGGUUGGAAGACCCCUACACUGUCCGACUCACCACACCCACUGCAGUGAAGAUAACUGAAACUGCAAAAGAGUGAUUCCCCUGGUUGGCACUAAGUAGGGGUGGAAGUCGACCGGUAUGAAACCUUUGGUCGCCGUAGAAACCAGCUGAUCCCCUCUCCCAGCUAUGGCUGGGUCUGGAAAGACCUGGAGGCUGAGCACUUACACCCAUUUGAGACCAAUGUGUGGUAUCGUUAUGUUAAAGUUUUAGCCAAAUCCAAAAAUAGGUCUAACUGCUGUGUAAUCAUGCAUACAUUGAAAAUAGACUAAGUGAUGUAUUGCCGAUGCUUCAUAGUAAAUCCUUAUAAUGACAAAUGGGGAAAUGUUAGAGUAAAUAUGAUUUGCUGACUGAUUUAUGAUUUUGUUAUUAUGAUGUUACCCCACUCACAAUGUUGAUUUAUUGUUUGUUACUUUUUGUCAUUAUGAAGGAUAUAUGUGCUCAAUAUUUAAUCCUGUCAGAAACAAAAACAUGUUUAAGUUGCUGGAGCUGCACCCUGCACACAGACAUAGAAACAGGAAGUGGUUGGGACUGCUGACUUUUGCUGGGUUAACUGAAAGGCCGGAGAAAGGUUAGCAGUCUUAGGGUUGUGCAGUACAUGAUGAUAUACGUCUACGCUCAUGCUUAUCCAACUCAAUCAAGUGUUUUAUCCUUAUAUGGAAUUUUCUUGUUCUCAGUAUGAUCUUCAUGUAUUCAUUGAUUCCAUACACUUAUUUGAUGCAACUUCAAGGCGUGUCCCAUUUUCUAAUAAAAAAGUAGAGCUCGCCGGAGUCAGAGUUGACAUUUCCUAGGUAAAGCGCUUUACCUCAGACGGGCUCCCCUUGCAAGUAAAACAAAGUUGUAGCUUGUUGUGCUUUGUUGUCUUUGUCUCUCAGCGUAUGAAAAGUGUUGUGGCUACUUUAGACCCAUGUACGUCUAUAUAUUUUUUACAGUUUAAUCAAGACGUAAUUGUACAUUAAUUAAAAUUAAGAAUUAUGGAUUUAACAAUUAAAUUAACAAUUCUGAA